AGCACAGUAGCUCAGUGGUUGGCACUGUUGUCUCACAGCAAGAAGGUCCUGGGUUCGAAUCCCGGCUGUCCCA
rnacentral:tRNA from 1 species